AAAGUUUACAGACUAUCAUCAUUACUACAACUUUGGUUCCUCUUCUCAACUUCAGAGGGGCCACACCAGGAACAGGACAAACCAAUCAAUGUUCACACUCUCACAAUUAACCUCAAAAAGCAUUUUAACGUCAAAGUAAUGGUUCCAAAUGUGAUAACCAACACAGGCCUUAGUGGAAGGAGUCCACCAUUUUGAGCCUGCCAACUCCAUUUGCUUUUGUAUCUCGCUUCUAUUUACUUUUUGUCAGUAGGAUUGCCAUCAUUUACUAUUUGAGCUUCUGGCAACUCAGACCCUCUGAUCAUGCACAGACUGCAUUCCCCUGCCUGCCACAGCCAUCUUGGCACCGGCGAUGUUUCAGGGUCACUUCACAAGGCACCACCACCAUGAGCCGCCGACAUAAAGCUCAUUUUCACAGAGGUCACCGUGUAGAGGAAAACGCAGCGUGUGGACUUGCCUUCAGCUCCUGGACUUCUCCUGGCUAGCCUUGCUCCUCAGAUCUGCGUCUUCCAGUGUACCCUGUCAAGCCCUACUCAGUACUGUAUCCUCAGAACCAAACAAUGAAAUGGAAGCAGAAUCCACCUUCAGACAGCUAUUCCCUUAUCUACCACGAACCAAACUGGUUAAAAAAAAAUUUUUUUUUUCCUUCUAAGACUUAGACAGGUCAGUAGAAGUGCAAGGUUAAGUCAAUAUCUGGAACAAUAAAUUGCUUUGUGCAUAAUGGAAA